rnacentral:rRNA from 1 species
UACGGAAGGUCCAAGCGUUAAUCGGAAUUACUGGGCGUAAAGCGCGCGUAGGUGGUUUAUUAAGUUGGGUGUGAAAGCCCCGGGCUCAACCUGGGAACUGCAUCCAAAACUGAUUCACUAGAGUACGAAAGAGGGAGGUAGAAUUCACAGUGUAGCGGUGGAAUGCGUAGAUAUUGUGAAGAAUAUCAAUGGCGAAGGCAGCCUCCUGGUUCUGUACUGACACUGAGGUGCGAAAGCGUGGGUAGCGAACAGGAUUAGAUACCCUGGUAGUCCACGCCGUAAACGAUGACAACUAGCUGUUGGGAAGCAAUGCUUUUCAGUGGCGCAGCUAACGUAUUAAGUUGUCCGCCUGGGGAGUACGGCCGCAAGGUUAAAACUCAAAUGAAUUGACGGGGACCCGCACAAGCGGUGGAGCAUGUGGUUUAAUUCGAUGCAACGCGAAAAACCUUACCUACUCUUGACAUCCUUGGAAUCUCUUGUAAUGAGAGAGUGCCUUUUGGAACCAAGUGACAGGUGCUGCAUGGCUGUCGUCAGCUCGUGUCGUGAGAUGUUCCGUUAAGUCGGAUAACGAGCGCAACCCUUACCCUUAUUUGCCAGCGGUUCGGCCGGGAACUAUAAGGGGACUGCCGGUGAUAAACCGGAGGAAGGUGAGGAUGACGUCAAGUCAUCAUGGCCCUUACGGGUAGGGCUACACACGUGCUACAAUGGGAAGUACAGAGGGACGCCAAAGCGUGAGCUGGAGCUAAUCUCAUAAAACUUUUCGUAGUCCGGAUUGCAGUCUGCAACUCGACUGCAUGAAGUCGGAAUCGCUAGUAAUCGCGGAUCAGCACGCCGCGGUGAAUACGUUCUCGGGUCU